rfam:Eubacterium uniforme strain ATCC 35992 genome assembly, contig: EI43DRAFT_scaffold00007.7
GGCUCCAUGGUCAAGCGGUUAAGACACCGCCCUUUCACGGCGGUAACAGGGGUUCAAAUCCCCUUGGAGUCA